UUUGUUUCCAAUGAACAGUGUUUGGAAAUGACCAAAUAAAAAAAAAUAAAAAAAAAGAAGUUAAAAAUUUACAUUUAAUCUAUGCUCUAAUGUGAUUAAUUUUUGUCAUUUGGUGCUAAGAAUAUGUAAGUUCUUUAGCAGUACCAUUUAGAAGAUGCCAUAAAUCUUUCAGCUCUGGUUUCCCAUAAAUUUAUUCAGUUCUUACAUUUCUGUUAGCUCUGUCCACCUCAGAGGAACUCCUAUUAUGUCUUGAAAUUCAUUUUUUCCCCUUUUUAAAAUUUCAAUGCUAUGCCUUUUAGACUAAAUGUUUAUUAUUGAUAUCAAUUUGUCUCUGGUUCCUUUCAGCAUAAUGUAACUUCCUUAUUUAUAUUAUGUAUUUUUGUUUUUACUUUCUCUGGCAUGAUCCACAACUCCUUGGCAUGGUAUAUUUUGUUCCAUACUACCAUUUUCCUUUUAUGUAAGAUUUGUCAUUUGAGAUUCAUAUUUUGUAAGUGCCAGAGGUUUUAUUUUCUUAAGUGAUUCUUUCAUUUUACUAGGUUAAUUUAGUAUAUUCACAUGUAAAAUUAUGUGAGAAUUUGGUUUUGAGUGGCUCCAAGUACCUUUUUUGUUUAUGAUUUUUUGAGUUUCCCUUUCUGCUUUAAAUCAGGAAUUUAGUCUCUUGAUUAAUUUUGCUUAAUCUACUUUAUUGAAUUCGGUAUUCCCACAGGCACUUUUCUCCUCCAUUCUUUUCUUUUCUAUUUGUCUCUCCCCUAGUUUUGGAAUUUUUUCAUUUAACAUUGAUUCCUUUUUCACUUAAUUAGUUAUCUAAUUCUUCUCUUCUUCUUUCCCUCUCUUGGUUAAGUGGUUAAUUAAAAGCCUUCCUCUCUUCCUUUCCAAUUCCCUUUGUCUAGUAGUACUUUCUUUUUUCUGCACUUUUCCCUAGAAAGGAUAUCUAUACUUUGUUCUCUUCACUAAUUCUCUUCCCUGUUAUUUCUAAACUCACCUCUCUGUCUAUUCUAAACUCUUGAUUGGUGGUCUUUUCCUCUUGAGUCUUUUUGUAUUUCUUAUGGGAUUAAAAAAAGUUUGAGAUUCCCUUUCAAACCAAUUUAUGUGUAAUAGGUCUUGCUCCUUCCACCCCACCUUUUUUCCUCUUAUGACUUAUUCUUAGAAGUAUCCAUUCCUGAGGGCAGUAAUGAGGAUAAAAUUUGCCUAAGGGUUGAAAUUUCCCUGUGUCCCAAAUUAGCUAAUUCUUUUUUUUAAAAACCCUUACCUUAUUCAUAAAUGCAUUUAUUUAUAUAAGCUUAUAUUUAUAUUUAAGAAUUCUGAAAAGCUUUCUUUAUAGUAGCCCUGUGAGAUAAGGAGUGGGAUUGUUAUUCAAUACUGUGUAUUGGCUCCAAGGCAGAAGAGUGGUAAGGGCUAGGCAAUGGGGGUCAAGUGACUUGCCCAGGGUCACACAGCUGGGAAGUGUCUGAGGCCAGAUUUGAACCUAGGACCUCCCAUCUCUAGGCCUAGCUCUCAAUCCACUGAGCUACUUAGCUGCCCCCCAAAUUAGCUAAUUCUAACCCCUUUCCUCCUUUUGAUUAUUUCCCCCCCUUUUUUCUAAGUCUUUGGGUCCUACCUCACCCUCCCCAUGGUCCUUGAUGCCAGUUGCCUUCAGGAGCUCUGACUUCCCUUCUAAACCAGGUGGUUAGUGGAGGUAUAACAAUCUCAGAGGAAAGAGUCUCUCUCCAUUUCAUUCCCUUUUUGUAUCACCUCACCCAUUCUUCUGUUAGCCCUUCUUGGUCAGAAAAAUAAGAUCUUUCUCCUACUCUUUUCACCCAUGAAUUUGAUCAAGGUGCAUCAUACUCUCCACCUCAUCCCCCGUUCCUCUUAGGCACGUCCAGUUCUGUAGUUUAGACCCCCAAAUCUGCUACCAGUUUCAAUUAACUGACUAGUUGACUCUAGAGGAGGAGCAGCAAAAGCAAGAAAAGUCCAUCUCAGUUCUACUUGAUGUUACAUUUUAUAGAUUGUGUUCAAAAUGAGCAUCUUGGGCAGUAGAGGCCAUUGACACAAAAUACUGUCGCGAGACAACUAGAACUAUGGAGUUGACUGUGACUGCUCUGAAAAACUCUUGAUGAUUGCUUAUCCAGAUUUUGAGAAGACUUUCAAGGAGGUGGAAUGGAGGGAUUAUAGCCUCUCAAGUACAUUUCAUUCUCUAACUAUGUUGUAGAAAAGCUUGGAUUUGGAUUGGUGGACUUCCAAAGGUCACUUUCAUCUUUGAUAAUCAGAAUCAGAAUCGCCUACUGUACUGAAUAGUGAGUUGGAUCUAAGAGUUAAAUUCCAAGAAAUCUAAAGAGGCCCAACCUCUCAAGAUUGUACUUUUCCUCUUUAACCAGUUUCAUCCAGGACUCACUAUGUACUGUGAUUGGUUGGCUCAGAAGUAUGGGUUUACAUAGCAGAAAGUCCUUUUCAGCCGCCCCAUGUGGAAAAGGUCCUCCAUUUUGUGGAUUGUUCCAAAAAGAGGCCCUUGUCCAUAGAGGCUGUUGGCAAAGAGUCUUCGAGCCAAACAACCAGUAGUAUGGAAAAACUUUUGGGAGGUGACAGAAAGGGAACUGUGGCCUGCCAUGAUCUCUUCCUGCAGCCCUACGUGGAUAAGGCAUUCUAUUUUGUGGAUUAUGCCAAAAUAAUCACUUUAUCCACGGAGGCUGUUGGCAAAGAACUUUGCAGCCAAAUGACCAGAAGUAUGAAGGGACUGUUUGGACAAGGCAACAAAGAGUCACCUUUCCUGCCAUCAUCUGUUUCUGAAGCUCUACUUGGAUUAAGGCAUAAUACUUCGUGGAUUCCCCAAAGCAAAGGACAUUAUACCCGGAAGCCAGAUUACGAAAAGUAUUGAGGGACUGUUGGGACAAGGCAGUGGAAAGGACAACUCUCCUGUCACCAUCUCUUCCUGCAGCCCUACGUGGAUAAGGCAUUCUAUUUUGUGGAUAUUGCCAAAAUAAUCACUUUAUCCACGGAGGCUGUUGGCAAAGAAUUUUCUAGCCAAACAACCAGAAGUACAGAAGGAGAGCUGGGACUUCGCAACAGAAAGACUGUCCUACCACCAAUUCUUCCUGCAGCCCUACGUGGAUAAGGCAUUCUAUUUUGUGGAUUUUGCCAAAAUAAUCACCUUAUCUACGGGGGCUGCUGGCAAAGAAUUUUCCAGCAGGACGAAGAGCUUUAUCUAUGGAGACUCUUGGCAAAGAAUUGUCCAGUCAAAUAGUUUGAAAUAUGGGAAUGACUGUUGGGAAAAAUAAACACAAAGGCAACUCUUCCCUUCCCACUGCCUCAGCUGGAUAAGGUACUCUAUUGUACACGUUGUCAAAAUGAGCACCUUAUCCAUAGAGGCUGUUGGCAAAGAACCUCUAAGGUGAAGAACCAGGAGAUGGACAAAGAUGGCCCCCCCACGAAAACCCAAAGCUGUGCAUCCAGACUUCAGAGGUAAGGAGAGUAUACUAUUGCUCUCUCAGGAAAGUAAUUCUGCUUAGAAUAAAUCUCAUUAUUUGGACCUUUUUCCAUACACUGCAGCUUAAUUUGCCUCGUGUCGAAUUGACCAACACUGCCCUCGUCAUUCAUUGCUGAGUUUUCUCAGUUAUUAGGGGAUGAAAUAAUUGGCCACCAGGCCACUUUCUUUUCUGAGAUUCCACUGCAUGAAGUCAACUUCCAUAUUUAGUGUGGGAAUGGCCAAGGUUAAUUCUCAUCAGAUUUUUUAGCUCAGUGAUCCCAAAGUAUUAAUGUUUGCUUUUUCAAUGAACCUCAACAAAUGUAACAGAUUUCACACCUGACUUGCUUUGCUACAGGAGAAAACUGAAGUGGUGACUGUCUAUCCUACUUUCCAGCCACCUCAUAUAGUGAAAUGGGAUUCUCAUUAACAGAACGUUGUUGGAGAUCAUUCCAGUUAAAAAAACAAUGCAUAUGGAGAUGAUUAAGGCAAGAAACGCAUCUUCUAAAAAUCCUGAUGGUUGUUUGUCCAGACUUCACUUGAUGGGGGAGGCCCCAAAGGAGGCCCUUUAUUCCCAUGAAAAACUCAUUCUUCUUAUGGAUAGCUCUGAUGGACAGCCGGAAACCUAAAUUUGCCAAUCAGAAAUACUUGAAGAGAACCACAAUUCCAGAGGACUAAAGACAUCAUCCUCCCUUUUUGAGUGAAUCCAUGGACUGAAAAUACAGACCAUUGCUGAACAUGACCAGUGAGGGAAGUAAGUCUUUAUUGUGACCAUUUUCAUUACAUUUCCUAUUUGUUGUUUUUGUUCAGUGGGAAUGGAGAAGAGGCAGGAAGAAGAGAAAUUUCAAGGCUAAUAGUUUUGCUCUUUCAAUAACUAUCAUCUACAGGCUACAAUCCAGUUGGUUCAGAAGAAUGGAAGACAUAACAGAAAAAACAAUUGUCACUAUCCUUUCUAGCAGCCUCCAUUGUACAAGGUAUUCCAUUUUGUGGUUUCCAUUCAAAGGAAUAUCCUGUAUAAUGGAGGCUGUUGGCAAACAUCUCUUCAGCCCAACAGCAAAGAAUGAAGAAGGAAUGUUUGGACCAGGACCACUCUACAAAAUACUUAAGGAUCGUUCAUCUCUACUGUGCUGGCCUGAAGACCCUCAGUGGUAAUGCAGUACUACUGCCAUCACCUUAGGGAAUCUUAAGGAAUAGAUAUUUUCUUACCAUUUGUCUUUGACCAAAGCAUGUUGAAGUGAAUUUAUUAUACCUUAUGUGUAACUUCCAGCCUGUUGUUUAGAUGGAUUUCCUUCUUUGAUUAAAAGAAUGGAAAAACAGGCCAACUUUUAGCUUGGAAAUUCUAUAACAUAUUAGGUGUGAGGUUCCAUAAUAUGGUCAGUUCUUGAUGUCUUUCAUUUUGAUCCCGGGAUGUUUCUUUUUCAACCAAUCUAAUCCGACACACACUAGUGCUGCCAUUUGCCACUUGGGCUGGCUCUGCAGUUGGAAUUAUAACAGAUAGAGGCCCAUUUAACCUGGCACUGUGCUUUCCAUUUGCCCUAGUUGUACCAGAUGUUACCUUUUAUGGACUGUUGAAAAAGGUACUUCCUGUGCAAUAGAGGUAUUUGGGGAAGGGCAUUUGUAGCAGAAAACCAGGAGUUUAGAGACUCUAGGGAUACAAACUCCAUUCUCUUUAUCCAUAAUUUCCUCAUCAACACUUUGCUUGAAGACUUCCAGGUAGGUGGAGAUCCCUACUUUGGUGUGGGAAAUGGAAGUGGGGAAUGGAGGAAGAAAAAAAGGGAACUCUUUCUGAGUUAGGUUCUAGAUGGCCUUCAUUCUUCAAGCAGGGGCAUAGAUUAGUUGAUCUGAGGUCACUUCAUCACUUGGAUUGAAAUAAAAAAAAAUCAGCUAUAGUACUCAGUGGUGAAUUGGAGGAGGUAAAAUUUGAGAAAUCCUAUAGGCCUCAGUCCCAUCAUUAUCUUUUUUCAGUGAUCUCCAUCCAGUACUUAUUCAGGCCUACAAACUACAAUUGGCUGGGACAGAAGAAUGGGCAUAUCAGACAGAAGAGCAAAUCUCUUUUUUAGGAUCCUAGCCAUAGAGGCUCUUGGGAAAGAACUGUGCAUUCAAGCAAAUAAGACAUUACUGUCCUAAUUUCAUGAUUGUUCCCCAAGACUUUCCAGGAAGUUGGAGGAGCACAUUUGGCUCAUGCCUAACCUCAAUUCUGACUUGACAGCCUUUUUUUUGGCAUUUUCUCUUUUUUUGGCAUCAAGGCUUUCUCAAACUUGCCUCUCACAAAUAUAUUGGGAGAACCAUGAUUCUGAGGACCAAAGAUGAAGCAUGCUGUCUACCUACCUUCUAACAAAGACAUUAUGGGAUUAAAAUGCAGCAUGAAAUGUAUACAUUUGCCGUAAUGGUUUAAUUUUUCUUCCACUGUUAUACAGUAUGUGGAAAGGGCAGUUUGAAAGAGAAAACAAUGAAAAUAAAUACAUAUCCAAUUGAUCUGAAGUGAAUUCAGUUGACCAUUUCAGAGCUAUGCUGAGUUUCAUUCCUCUGGCAAAGUGGGUUGGAUUGGUUGACCUGAAGUCAACCUGAAGUCAUUUCUAAAGUAGUAAAUGAUAGAACUUACUUGAGUGGUUGACUCUUGUAAGCCUUCAGUUCCCAGAAUUUUGCUUUUCCCUCUUCUAGCAUUCGCCAGUCCUAUGAACUAUGAUUGCCCCAGAAGGGUCUAUAUAUCAGUUGGAAAGUCAGCCAUCUUUCUUCCAUUCCUCUAAUUGACUCCCAUGACAUUGUUCUUCUUUUGUAGAAGCUGCUAGGGAAGAACUUGUCACUAAGGGCUGUUUAGAGAAGGAUCACUUCCAUCCAGAUUCUUGCCUAGUAGUGAGGAGAGAGGUUGUUGGGCACUAUUUUCAUAGGAAACCCAUUCAGCUUUAGGCCAUUUUAUCCAUCAUUUUGAUAUUUCCCCCUACAUUCAUUUCAUAUUUGCUUUUAACCAAUAAAUGCUGAAUUGAAUGUAAUCACUUUGACCAUCUGUUUGUUUUAUCUUCUAGAUUUUCCUCCUUCCAAUAUUAGGGGAAAAGGGAUACCCUCUGAAUGUGCUCACCUUCAAUUCUGAGAUUCUAUAGAGUAAAAGGUGAACCCCACAAUAAAAGCACAGCUAAGAAAUUUUUCCUGGCACCACACUCUCCCUCUGCCUCAGUUGUACCAGGUGUUACAUUUCAUAUAUGACAAAAUGAUACAUCUAGUGCAACGGUGGCCGUUGAGAAGAACUUCCAAGCCAGAAGACCAAGAUUUCAGAGAUGGUUGAACAACAUUUACUUUCUGUAAUACCUGAUGAUUCUGGACUGUCUUAACACUCAGCUAUUUCUACCUAUGGACAGCUCUGAUUGAAAAGAUCAGUUUCCUCAAGUCAAACAUCAAUUCUUCUCUCCUAAAUGUGGAGAACCUUUCCCAGAGGACCAAAGGUGAGGCAUACUGACUACCACCUGCUGGACAGGUAAUGGGGCUGAAAAUGCUGAAUGAGAUGCACUGAAUAUUAGGGCUUUUUUGUUCACUUGGGAUCAGGAAAGUAGGAAGGGGGGAAAAUGCAUGCAAAAAAUUGAUUUCAAUUUAAUUCCACUGUCUUUUCAUUUCUUUGGUUGGAAUGGAUGGAUUGACCUCAGAGAUCCCUUUUUGUCUCUUGAUUGGAAAUCACAGAAGCUUCUGCUAUGGCUGAUUGGAUGAGGUGAAAAACUUGGAGGGAUCUUAAAAGCUUUGGUUUCCAUGAUGACAUUUUUACUCUUUCAACCAAUUUUGAAAAGCAGUCACAACUAAGAAAAUUAAAAUUUAUUCAUUUAUAACUGAGCAAUUCUAACUGAAAAGCAACUAUGCCUCCCUUUCCAGCUGCUGUAGGUGGAUUCUUAUUUCAUAGAUUCUACCAAAAGCAGAACCUCAUCCAUAGUGGCUGUUGGCUAAGAACUUUACAAGAAAUGAACAAGAGUUUGAAAGAUCAUUCAGAGUUGAGUAUUGCUAUCUCUGUAACGCCCCAUAGAGGGAUGGAUUCUACAACAUGAAAUAAAUUGCCAUAUUGAGUAUGAGGAUGGAGAAGGCUCAACUUUGAGAUCCUUCAGCUAGAUGGUUCUGGGAUAUUGUAUUUGCUUAUGAACAUAUCUACACCAGUGCUGAUUCCAAUUGAAUGGCUCUACAAUAGGAAUAUCUGAGAGAUAACUCAUCUGUCUUGAUACCAUUUCCUCCAUCUGCCCCAUUGGUACCAGGUGUUGCACCUAACAUCUUGUGCAAUGGUGGCUGUUGGAGAAGAAAAUUUGAGCCAGGCAACCAAGGUUUCAGAGACAGUUGGAACAAGGAACUCUACUUUGCAAAACUCCUGAUGUCCAGACUUAGAGGUAAGGGGAGGUCUCCUACUUCCAUAUGAAUGAAGCUCAUUUCACUUGAAUAGUGGAAUUUUCCUAACCUAGCCUAAAUUUCCCUCUCCAGACAUCACAGAACCACAAUUCCAGAGAAGUGAAGGUGAGGAAUGGUAACAAUAGGAAUAUCUGAGAGGUAACUCAUCUGUCUUGAUACCAUUUCCUCCAUCUGCCCCAUUGGUACCAGGUGUUGCACCUAACAUCUUGUGCAAUGGUGGCUGUUGGAGAAGAAAAUUUGAGCCAGGCAACCAAGGUUUCAGAGACAGUUGGAACAAGGAACUCUACUUUGCAAAACUCCUGAUGUCCAGACUUAGAGGUAAGGGGAGGUCUCCUACUUCCAUAUGAAUGAAGCUCAUUUCACUUGAAUAGUGGAAUUUUCCUAACCUAGCCUAAAUUUCCCUCUCCAGACGUCACAGAACCACAAUUCCAGAGAAGUGAAGGUGAGGAAUGGUAACUCCUCAUGAGUGGAAGGAAACGGGCAAUUUUGGACACGGCCAAUGAGGUAAUUUGCUUUCCUUGACUAUAUAUUUAUUAUGAUUUCUUUCUCCCCUACUCAUGUCAGGAUGGAGAUGUAAUAGGUUUAAAAUGUCAAAUGAAAUUUGCCUUUGUGUCGCCUAAUGAAGGAAUUUCCUAUAUUAGCAUUAGGGUGUUAUUUCUUCCUACAUUGGGGUAUGGGAAAAGAAAUAAUUAAAAAUACUGAUUGAAUUCAAUUGACCAUUUGUUUCUGAUUUUAUCCCUUCCUUCACACUCUGGGUAUGAAUGUGUUUUUGACCUGUGAUGCCAAUUUUAUAUUUGAGAUUAGAAACAUCAGAGAAUGAUGGACUGUACAGGGCCAGGGAUUAGAUCAGGUUAAAAUCUUAUGAGCCUGAGAUUCCCUGGUUGGUCUGUUAAGUCAACUUCAUCCAAGACUGACCAAUAGGUACAAAUGAGAAGAUACUGAUAGAGUAUAAAUAAGCAUAUCUAAUAGAAGGUUAAUUAUCAUCUUGCUACCAUCCCUUCCAACAGCCCCUCUUGGAUAAGGCUCUUUAUUUGUUUUCUGUCAUAGUAAGGACCUUAUCCGUAGAGACUGUUGGCAUGGAAAUUUCCAGCCAAAACAACCAGAAUUAUAGCAGAACAGUUGAGACAGAGCAACAGAAAGUCAACUGCUUUACUUCAAUGACUACUUGCAGCCCCACUUGGAUGAGGCGCACUAUUUUGUGAAUACUGCCAAAAUAAUGACCUUAUCCAAGGAGGCUUUUGGUAGAAGAACCAAAGAACUGGAAGUAUUGGGACAAAGAUGGCUCAUUAAAGACAACUCCUUGAUGACUGUACAUACAUCUAGACCCUGUUAGAGACCUUCAAGGAGGUAAGGAAUAGCUCUUUUUAUUUAAACACCUUUCCAUCUGUUCCAACUUUACCUCUAAACAAACCAUGUGGUACUAUGUAUAACUGCAUUCACCAUCCAUUUAUAGAAUAUGUUCUAGACUUGACUCCUUGUUCUCUUUGGGGAAUGGAAGAGUUGACCUCUGAAGGUAUUUCAGUUGGAUAUAGUCAACUGUUGGAUACCUUUCAGUUCUGAUCCCUGAAUAUUAUGUUGUUUUUGUUCCAAUCAGUGCUAUCCUAUACAUACCACUGAUACCAGUUUUUAUUAGUUGACUGAAGGGACAUAAGAAAUACAAACCCUCUACCCUGCCCUCCAUGUGCCCCAGUUGUAUCAGAUACUCCAUUUUCUAGAUUGUCUGAAACGUUGCAUCUUGUACAACUGUGGCUGUUGGAGACAAACCUUCCAGCCCAUUAGUCAAGAGAUGGUAGAGACAAGGCAUACCAAGUAUUCCGGUGAAUGUUUUGAUUGUUUUUCCAGACUUCCCCAGAAGUAUGAAUGUGUGUGUAUCCCCAUAUUCCCUUCUCAUGCAGAUUAUCAUACUUCAUAGCUCUGAAUACUGGGCAUAUAUUCACAUCAAACCUAACUUUGCCUCCUGUAAAUACUUAGGGAGAACCUAUAUUGCAGAAGAUCAAAUGUAAGGAGUAUACUUUUCAUAUAAUGAGAUGUUUUGAGCUAGGACCAAUAAAGGAAUUUGACUUCAAUUGAUUAUUUAUUACAAGGGAUUUUCUGUUGUCAUGUGGGUGAAAUGGAAGUGGUAACUAGAGAAAAUAAAUGAUCCUCAAAAUGCAGAGAAAAUUGAACUGACCUUUUGUUUUUGACCCGUGCUGUAAAAAGACCUUCCUUUUCUUUUUUAGGCAAGGGGGUGGAUUAGUUGUACUCUUAGGUCACUGUCAACUCUUGAGUGGAAAUCAUAGAAUCAUAUGCUCUUAUUGAUUGAUGACAGUUUUCCGAGAAGUCCGUAAGGCUUUAUUUCCCAUGAUUGUUUUUUUGUUUUUGCAACCAGCUUCAUCCAGUGCUAUAGGCUAAAAUUGGUCAUCCAGGAGUAUGAGAAUAAAGAGAAAAAGCCCCUAUCCUGCCUUCAUUCCUUCCAGCCGCCUCAUUUGGACAAGGUGCUCUGUUUUGUGGAUUGUCCCAAAAAGAGCAUCUUGUCCAUAGAGGCUGUUGGCAAAGAUCUUUGCAGGGAAAAACACCCAAGAGUUUGGAGGGACCUCUUGGAGAAGGAUUGCUACCCUAGAUAACAAUGGAUAAUAGAUUCUGUGGAUUUUCAUUGAUGAAAUUCAGAGAUUUCAGGAUGGAGGAAUCACACUUCCUUCUAAUACAACCCAUUAUGUUUAUGGGUAACUUGGAUCGAUGACAGCACAGUUUUCCUGUCAUUAAGGACAAAUUUAUUGGUAAUAGUACUGGCAGAGCACCAGGAUUCUGAGGAAAGCAAAACAGAAACACAUCACCCACCUCUUGGAGACAGGUAUUGUUGGAGGCAGCCAACAAGGGGUUUUGCUUUACUUGACUUAGGUACGUUUGUUAAUUUUCUUUUUGUUGUUGCUGUGUUGUGGGUGUGGGUGUGUGUUAGAGAAAAUUAAUGCUUUUAUAUGUACUUGCUGAAUUAAAUUGAAUUCAGUUGAUAAUUUGGGCACCAUGUUUUGUUGUUGAUUAGCUUUGAUUCUUCAGGCAGAGGAAUAGACUGCAUUGACCUCUUGAGGUUACUUUAUGAUUUUAGAAAUUAUAGGCUCACCAGGUCUACUAUAUGAUGAAUUAGAGGAGGGCAUGUAGGUCUGAGUUCCCUUGAUUAUGCUUUUGUUUCUACCAAUUUCAUCUGGUCCUCUGUGGUACAAGUUACAACUGGGUGCCUCAAUAGAAUGAGCACAUUCAACAGAAAAGCAACCGCCUCAUGGGCAAUAUUGUUCAAUUGAGAGAUUUUUGAGCAACGAGCCAUCUAUGGGUUGUUAGUAAAGUGCUUCGUAGCUUACCAAAAGUAUGGAAAGACUGUUGGUAUGCUAGCCUACUAAUCCACUGAUAAAAUAUUUCUUCUUCUUUUAGCACUUAGCAGUAUUACAGGCUACCGCUAAGUUGGUCCAGAACUAUGAACACCACAAAGAGAUAAGUACCUAUCUUUCCUCAUCAUUUCUAGUCACUUCAUUUGAAGUUUGUGGAUUUUGCCCAAUGGGUGUCUUGUUCAAUAGAGACGAUUGGUGUAGAAUUUUACAGCCAGACUACCAAGAAUAUGGAGAGAAAGAUUGUUGGUGAGAGUCACUAUUAUUUCUACAUGAUCCUUCAUGACGGUCCAGACCAUGGAGAAUUUGCCUCUCAAAUACAUGGAGAGGCCUGCCCAUGAUUCCAGAAGAUCCAAAAUUGAGGUCUUGACUCAAAACAGGACAAAAAAUUGAUUGGCUUAAAAUGCGGAAUAAUACUUGGGUUUGUGUCCAUAGGCCACAUGAAGACACUUGCUUCAUUUUUUCCAUAUUACAUUUGGAAUUAUUUUUUUCAGAUGUAGUAGCGUAUAGGAAAUCGGAAAGAAAAUAAAAUUCCUUUCAAAAAUUACUUGUUGAAUUGCAUUUAACUGGAAUUCAACUGACUUGUGAUUUUUAAUUUUUGUUGUAGAUGACCUUCCUUCUUCACAUUGGGGAUGUGCAGCUUGUCCCCACGUAGUCACUUUCUCAUUUUAGAAUGGAUAUCCAGACUGGACGAUGGCAUGGACGAUGUGAAGAAUCUUAUAAGUCCAAGACCCCAAAAUUUUGCUUCACUCUUUAAACCAACUUCAUCUAGCACUCAUCAGUACUUUAGGGGAUGAAUAAAUCAAAAAGAAAGUCAACUCUACUACCAUUCUGUAGCCCGACUCCACCAGAAGCACUGAGGCACUGUUGUGACAAUGACAACAGAAAGGUGACUAUUCUACCAUGAUCACCUCCAGCAGCCUCACUUGGAUAAAGUGCUUUAUUUUGUAAAUUACACCUAAAUAAGGACUUUAUCCAUGGAAGCUAUUGGCUAGGAUCAUUCAGCCCAAAAGCUAGAAGUAUGGAGGGAGACAAAAGAUGGCUACUGAAGAGAAGCACCGUGACAAUCAUGCAUCUGGACCUUAUUGGAACACUUUUAAAGGAGCAGGAUGGAUUACUUGAACCCUGGGGUCACCGUAAUUCUGAAUCGCAAUCAGAGAAAUAUUUGCUCUACUGACUAUUACAUUAGAUAAGGUAAGAUCUUGGAGAAGUCUAGCCCCAAUUUUCUGCUCUUUUUAACAACUUUCUCUAGCACUACAAUGACACGUUUGGCUUUUGGCAUAGAACUUGACAGCGAACUCUUUAUGAUGAAGAGAUCUCUGCUAAAAACCUCCCAGUUGGCUAAGGCUUCUCUAAAUAAGCACAUUAUCCACGGAGAAUGUUGGGAAAGAACCUUUCAGCCAAAUCACCAGCAAUCUGGAGGCACUAUUGGAACAAGGCUACCAAAAGUCAACUAUUCCAUUCCAUCACCAUUAUUUCCAUCCGCCCCCCAUGGAUAGGGUGUUUUAUUUUGUGAACAUAGCCAAAAUAAACACCUUAUUCUUGGGGGCUGAUGGGAAAGAACAUCCAGCGAAAGAAUUGGAAGUCUGAAGACAUUUUGGGGACAAGCAUGGCUAUUGAAGAAAAACCCUGGAAGAUUGUCCAUCUAGUCUAUCUAGUGUCUGCUAGAAAGACCACCAUGGAGGUGAGG